rnacentral:rRNA from 1 species
UUCGUUAGCUUGCUAACAGAUGGUGAGAGUGGGCGCACGGGUGCGUAACGCGUGAGCAACCUACCCAUAUCAGGGGGAUAGCCCGAAGAAAUUCGGAUUAACACCGCAUAAGACUACGAGAUGGCAUCAUCAAGUAGUUAAAUAUUUAUAGGAUAUGGAUGGGCUCGCGUGACAUUAGCUAGUUGGUGAGGUAACGGCUCACCAAGGCGACGAUGUCUAGGGGCUCUGAGAGGAGAAUCCCCCACACUGGUACUGAGACACGGACCAGACUCCUACGGGAGGCAGCAGUAAGGAAUAUUGGUCAAUGGACGGAAGUCUGAACCAGCCAUGCCGCGUGCAGGAUGACUGCCCUAUGGGUUGUAAACUGCUUUUGUCGAGGAAUAAACCUAUCUACGUGUAGAUAGCUGAAUGUACUCGAAGAAUAAGGAUCGGCUAACUCCGUGCCAGCAGCCGCGGUAAUACGGAGGAUCCGAGCGUUAUCCGGAUUUAUUGGGUUUAAAGGGUGCGUAGGCGGCACUUUAAGUCAGGGGUGAAAGACGGCAGCUUAACUGUCGCAGUGCCUUUGAUACUGAAGUGCUUGAAUGCGGUUGAAGACGGCGGAAUGAGACAAGUAGCGGUGAAAUGCAUAGAUAUGUCUCAGAACACCGAUUGCGAAGGCAGCUGUCUAAGCCGUUAUUGACGCUGAUGCACGAAAGCGUGGGGAUCGAACAGGAUUAGAUACCCUGGUAGUCCACGCCCUAAACGAUGAUACUCGAUGUUUGCGAUAUACAGUAAGCGUCCA